rnacentral:snoRNA from 1 species
GGCCGAUGACGAGUACUCUAUCCGAGCCGGUGUAGGCAGCCGGCGAUGACGAGCCCUAUGAGUACCGAGGCC